UGCAGAUGAUAAUGGUGAAGGUGGUACAUUUGCUCUUUACUCUCUGUUGUGUAGACAUGCAAAGUUUAGUCUACUUCCCAACCAACAGGCAGCAGAUGAGGAGCUAUCUGCUUACAAAUAUGGCUUUUCGGGGCAGUCGACAUCAUGUUUAUCAUUGAAGAGAUUUCUUGAGAAGCAUAAGAAGUCACGUACAAUACUCCUUAUUGUUGUAUUAUUAGGUGCUUGUAUGGUCAUAGGAGAUGGUGUUCUGACUCCUGCAAUGUCAGUUAUAUCAUCAAUGUCAGGGAUCCAGGCUGCUACUGAACACCUAUCUCAUGGUGGUGUGCUUAUUCUCUCGUGCAUAAUAUUGGUUGGCCUGUUUGCCUUGCAGCAUUCUGGAACACACAGGGUUGGAUUCUUGUUUGCUCCUAUAGUGACUAUCUGGUUGAUAUCUAUUUUUCUCAUUGGGCUGUAUAAUACUAUAUUUUGGAAUCCCAAAAUUGUGUCUGCACUUUCUCCAUAUUAUAUCGUCAAGUUCUUUAAGGAAACUGGGAAAGAUGGUUGGGUUUCCUUAGGAGGUGUCCUCCUCUCAAUUGCAGGUUCUGAAGCUAUGUUUGCAGAUCUUGGUCAUUUCACUGCCACCUCAAUGAGGAUUGCAUUUCCUUUUUUUGUAUACCCUUGCUUGGUGGUACAGUACAUGGGUCAGGCUGCUUUUCUGUCCAAAAACAUUGAUUCAAUUCCAAAUAGUUUCUAUAAUUCAGUACCCGACAGCGUAUAUUGGCCUGUCUUUGUUAUUGCUACCCUUUCAGCCAUUGUUGGCAGUCAGGCUGUAAUCACUGCUACAUUCUCCAUUGUGAAGCAAUGUAAUGCACUGGGUUGCUUCCCACGAGUCAAGAUUGUCCACACGUCAAAGCAUAUUAAAGGACAGAUCUAUGUCCCAGAAAUAAAUUGGAUCCUAAUGAUUUUGACCCUUGCUGUGGCUGUUGGAUUUCAGGACACCACUUUAAUAGGAAAUGCAUAUGGUCUAGCUUGCAUGACAGUUAUGUUUAUCACGACAUUUCUCAUGGCGCUUGUCAUAAUCUUUGUCUGGCAAAAAAGUGUAGCACUUGCAAUUCCUUUUCUCCUUUUAUUCGGAAUCAUCGAAGGCGUCUACCUGUCUUCUGCAUGCAUCAAGAUCCCACAAGGAGGAUGGGUCUCCCUUGUGCUCUCUUUUGCCUUCUUGACUAUCAUGUUUGUCUGGCACUAUGGAACUCGCAAGAAGUACAACUUUGAUCUUCACAAUAAAGUUCCAUUGAAAUGGCUCCUUGGCUUGGGCCCCAGCCUCGGUAUUGUUCGUGUGCCAGGGAUAGGGCUGAUAUACUCU
rnacentral:misc_RNA from 1 species